AUUGAACGCUGGCGGCAUGCCUAACACAUGCAAGUCGAACGAGUGGCGGACGGGUGAGUAAUGUCUGGGAAACUGCCCGAUGGAGGGGGCUAACUACUGGAAACGGUAGCUAAUACCGCAUACCAUCGGAUGUGCCCAGAUCGGAUUAGCUAGUAGGUGGGGUAACGGCUCACCUAGGCGACGAUCCCUAGCUGGUCUGAGAGGAUGACAAGCCACACUGGAACUGAGACACGGUCCAGACUCCUACGGGAGGCAGCAGUGGGGAAUAUUGCACAAUGGGCGCAAGCCUGAUGCAGCCAUGCCGCGUGUAUGAAGAAGGCCUUCGGGUUGUAAAGUACGUUCAGCGAGGAGGCGUUACUCGCAGAAGAAGCACCGGCUAACUACGUGCCAGCCGCCGCGGUAAUUC
rnacentral:rRNA from 1 species